CAGAGAGGGAAUGAAGAGAUAAGGAGAGAGUGAGAGAAGAGAGGGAAUUAUGAAAUUUAUUUGUGACCGAGUGGAGUGGGUCAGUCUGAUGAAAACCGCGAAUGAGUUAAGUCGCAACCAAUAAAGUUGUGCGUACAGGAUUACCGUGUUCAGUACAUUGCGUUAGGUUAUCCGCUGAGAUAUCACAUUGGUCCUUCGAACCGGAUAUUGACCCUUUGUGCUUUGGAUAUCGGUAAAAAUCGCGUCAUCAUGACUCGAACGCCUCGGACGUCUCGCACUCCAACCGUAAAGCCGGCGCCACAACCCGGUUGGGUGGAUGUAAUUGUUGCUGUAAGGCCGCAUGUGCACAUGCGUGACCUUGCGUAUGGCGAAUUGAUUCGCAUAAGGGACAACAUUGUGCAGGCGAAGGAAGAGGGAAAGGCGCUGACCGCGGUACAGUGCAAAGUGUUCGGGAAGAAGGCAGAUAGUGCUUUAGAAGAACACAAGAAACAUUAUGGUGAGAUCAUAAAACAUGACGAAAGUGAAGUGCAUGACGCCAAGUUUAAGGAGACAGUGAAAUUGCAUGAGGAGGUGAUGAUGGAAAUAGAAAGUGCAUCUGAAGCCCUUGCGGCAUAGUCCAUUUCACCAAAGGCAUUGAUACCUGCUCCUAGCGUUUCGUCAGUGAUUGUAAAUGCUCCGCUUCCUCGGCCAAUACCUUCGUUUAGUGGCAAGUAUGAGCAGUGGGCGCGGUUUAAAACAAUAUUCAAAGAUAUUGUUGACAAAAGUAGUGAAGAUUCGCGUAUCAAGUUGUAUCAUCUUGAAAAGGCCUUGAGUGGUGAGGCUGCCAAGGUAAUAGAUGAGAAAACAAUAAACGACGGUAAUUAUGAACGUGCGUGGCAACUGUUAUCCGAACGUUAUGAUAACAAACGGCGUAUGGUAGACUUACAUAUUAGUGGACUUUUGAAUUUGAAAAAAGUGAAUGAGGAAAGUUAUGUAGGUUUGCGCGGUUUGGUUGAAUCGGUUGAAAGUCACGUGGAAAAUCUAAAGUAUUUAGGUGAAAACUUUACCGGUCUGUCGUGUGCGAUGGUGAUACAUUUGAUAGCGAAUGCGUUAGAUAUUGAAACAAAGAAACUAUGGGAAGCGAGUGUCCCUAGAAACGAACUUCCGUGUUAUGAAAAAACCUUGUGCUUCCUAAAAGAAAGAGUGUCGGUUCUUGAAAGGUGCCAAGGAAAUGUUGCAGCGGGGCAAAGGGGACGUUUUGUUUCGAAAGGGCCCAGCUCAAGUGGUGUUACGCCUAUGAGAUCGAAUGCAGCUACAACCGUGUGCAGUGUAGUUGUGUGUGAAUUGUGUAAGGGUGCCCAUGAAACGUUUAAGUGCUCUGAGCUGAUGCGACUGCAUGGAAAGGAUCGGGAAAAUUUUAUUAGAUCGAAGCGUCUUUGCUUAAUUUGCCUAAAACCGGGACAUUGGCGAAAUCGUUGCAAAUCGCAUUUGAAAUGUAACAGGUGCCACGGACCACACAACACGGUAUUGCAUUGGGACAACGGUCCAGAACCGGUUUCAAGGGAACCCGAACAAGUGAGUGCGAGCCAGCAUGUGAACAAUACCGAUGCGGCGGGAAGUAUUGUUCUCUUGCAAACCGUCUUGCUUUACGCGGAAUUACCGAACAAAGAGGUGUUGUUGUGUCGUGCGAUGUUGGACAGUGGAUCGCAAAUCAGUUGUGUGACUGAAGCACUUGCAACGAAAUUAGGCGUAAAUUUGGUAAACGUGAACGUACCGGUUAAGGGGAUUGGCAACAUUGAAUCUUCGGUGAAGAAAAAGUGUACUUUUACAGUGAAAUCUCGGUGUAGUGAUUUUGCUAUGGACGUGACAUGUUUUGUGUAUCGUGAAAUAACAGGUAGAAUACCCUCUGUGUAUUUCGAUACGUCGAAGUGGAAUUUGCCGGAUAAAUCGAUGUUGGCCGAUCCAUAAUUCAACAAUCCAAGUUGUGUAGACAUUUUAUUGGGAAUGGAUUGUCUUUCGGAAAUAAUGGCAUCUGGUUCAGUGAAAUUGGCAAAAACACUUCCCAUGAUGACGGACACUCAUUUCGGAUGGGUGAUAGGUGGACGUGUUGCGGAAACACACAAAGAGCGUGAGGUGUACACAAAUGUUGUGACAAAAGAAAAUUUGGAAACAAUAGUGCAAAGGUUUUGGGAAGUUGAAGAUGUGACAAGUGAGCGUUCCGUGAAGGUGGAAGACGAGAUAUGUGAAGAACAUUUUGUGAAGACACAUUAUCGUGAAUCCAGUGGCAGGUAUGUUGUGCAGUUGCCUUUAAGGGAAUCGAUAAGCCAAUUGUGUUGUUCGCGAAGUGUAGCGCUGCGUAGGUUUUAUUUGUUGGAAACAAAACUGUUGAAAAAUCCAUCGUUACGUGAACAAUAUCAAGCGUUUAUGAGUGAAUACGAGGAGUUAGGGCAUUGUAGAGUGGUUGAUGAAAGUGAGGACGAUGGCUCCGUGAAAAGGUGGUAUCUGCUGCAUCAUGCUGUAUUGAAUCCGGCCAAGAACACUACCAAGUGCCGUGUGGUGUUCGAUGCUUCGGCGAAGGUAAACGGCUUGUCUUUGAACGACGUUAUGAUGACCGGCCCUAAGGUACAACACGACUUACUUUCCAUCAAGCUGCGUUUUAGAAUGCCUCGAUAUGUGUUAUAGAUCCGUAGCAUCAACCUGGCCGGGAGGAUGUUCCAUUUCCGAUGGAACGAGCGAGAUGCGCGGUCUAAGGAACGGGCGAGAAUGGCGGGCUGAGGAAGGAGAGAGAGGUGCGGGGUGAGGAGCGAACGGAAGGCUGUCCGAGUGGCAUCUGUUUUGGCGACAAUUGUCUGGAACGGCGGCACCCGCAAUUGUUGUUCGAUCUCAUCGACACCGGCUAGAAUUCCGCGAAACCCACCGUAGAAUGCAAGCGGGCGGCUUGUGUGGUCGAACGGACCAGAGAAGCGAGGCAAGCGAGUUGCGGCUGUUCGCCGGACCACGUUAAGGGGGAACAGAGAGGGAAUGAAGAGAUAAGGAGAGAGUGAGAGAAGAGAGGGAAUUAUGAAAUUUAUUUGUGACCGAGUGGAGUGGGUCAGUCUGAUGAAAACCGCGAAUGAGUUAAGUCGCAACCAAUAAAGUUGUGCGUACAGGA